ACCCUCCUGAUUCCCUUUCCCAUUAGAUCUGAACAUUGGUCUUGGUGGUCGUAAAAGGAUGAAAAGUAAUACUGAAGCUGGCCUCACACCAUUGUAGUAUAGUAUAUAUCAUGCGGGCUAGUUCCAAACAAGG